UACGGGGGGGGCAAGCGUUGUUCGGAAUUACUGGGCGUAAAGAGCUCGUAGGCGGCCUGUCGCGUCGGAUGUGAAAGCCCGGGGCUUAACCCCGGGUCUGCAUUCGAUACGGGCAGGCUAGAGUGUGGUAGGGGAGAUCGGAAUUCCUGGUGUAGCGGUGAAAUGCGCAGAUAUCAGGAAGAACACCGGUGGCGAAGGCGGCAUGCUGGGUUGCGACUGACGCUGAGUUGCGAAAGUGUGGGGAGCAAACGGG
rnacentral:rRNA from 1 species